UGUUUCACACAUUGUUAAACUUUAAAUGAUGCUGCUCAAACCAGGAUUUAAGGUAAUUCUUACCUGCAUUUUACCCUUUUUCUUGCCUAUUGGCACACAGAAACACCAAGACUGGUGGUUUUGAUGACAAAUAUUCCCAGCUGCAUAGUUAAACUUGGAGAAUUGAUUGAGGUAUCCAGAACACACAUGCUGAAGUGUUUGGAAGGAACAGGGACCUUUGCACUUCCAGAUUGAAUUCACAGGUUUUCUCACAGCAAGGGUUGGGAGAAUGUCAUGGUGAUGGGAAGGUUCAUGCAUUGUGUGAGUACUGAGGCUGGUGGUAGGAUGCCUCAUUGUGCCCCAUUUCUGCUGGUUCUGUGAGAUGCUUGGAGUUCACUAGGAGCAUCCUUUUCAGCACAGUGGAUUCUGCAUAUUUGUGAAUCACCUGUUCUGCUGACCUGAUGUGUUUCCCUACAAUGUGUUACGAGUGCUCCAUCAGUUGCUCCAUCACCUGCUGAGUGCUGCCACUGCCAUGAAAGGGUGGAAAAAAUGUCCUUUCUUACUGGGUUUAGCUGGCUCUUUCUUCCCCCUGUGGGCUGCUGGCAUCUGAUGAACAUGGUGCAGCUCUUGCUUCCUCCUUUGUCUUUUCCUCGCUGGGAGACUCUAUUGUCACAAUGGACAAAACCUAACUAAUUCUGCAAUUUAUCAGAAUAAAAAUUCUACCUGGCCAAGCCGUGGCACAGCUUCUGUGAGAGCUGGGUCUUAACUAUACCUUGGGUCCCAGCAGUGUCAGAGCAAUGAGAAAUUUUUAUUCUUAAACUAUAUCAGUUUCACAUUUAUUUAUCCUGAAAUUCAAAGUAUUUGUUUUAGAUUCUGUAAUGUUCUACACAGGGCCAGGACUUUGAGUUUGUUUGGCUUUAAAGAGAGUUUUAGUUGGGUUUAAAAGAGGAGAUUUGGGGUUUAAAAGAGGGGGCUUGGGGUUUAAAAGAGAGAGUUUUUUAUGUUUGAGGAGUUUUUGUAUUGUGCUGUAGUUCUGCUUUAACCUAAUGUAUCGAACAUUUUUGUUACAGAAGCCUUUGGAAGUUGGGACCAGAAAAGAGGAGUUGGUCCAAAAUCCUUGUUUCCUAGGGAUCCAAUUUCCUAGGGAUCCAAUAAAGAAUGGAAGAUGCUCAGCCGCUGGUUUUAAUUACUGACUUAAGGAAAACUAAGUUGCUGUGUACAUAUCUGUGUACACUCUAAGUUUCCUGAUGUUCUGUAGCAAAUACCAGGUAAAAUUUGGAUUUAAAUGGCAAAAUAAGAACUGGAGAUGCAGUUCCCAACUUCACUCCUGAAGGCAAAGCUGUAGAGUUUAAUUAACCAAUUGGUUAAUUAAAUUAUCAGUUCAGUACAUGGAUUACUUGACUGAGCUUCUGCAGAAACCAGUUUUAUAUUUUAGACCAGCUUUAACAGCAGAGCUGGAGCUGCAGAGCUCAGGCAGCGCUGGAUAUGUAAAAUGACUGUAAAGCUGUUUUGUGGGCAAAGAAAUUCCUGUUCUUCUUUGGGUAGAGAAUGUUUGUUCUGUGUUUUGUGUUUAAUUGGAAGAGGAGAAGCUUCACAAUAAAAGAUGAUUUAGACCAAGUGCAUGGGAUCUUUGUUCAAGCAAAACGCA